CUGGAUGCGAGCUCUUUGUCAGAUGUAAGGAUUGUGAGUUACCUCCUCUAUUAGCAAAUUUAACUUGCUUAUUCAUCAACUCAUUCCAAGAGCACCAAUAAGGAAUGGGCCAGGCCCUGUGCUGGGUGCUGGGUUAUCAGAAUGAGUAUGAUGUGGCCCUCAUUCUUGAAGACAGCUCGACCGUGAUGGAGGAGACAGGCAUUUAGAAUAAGCAUGAAAUAAAGGUGGCUGUUAAGGGGUCAGCUCCCCUCACCAAAGUCACUUUUGAUUUACUUACAAAAGUUUUCUUAAGAUUUCUUCAGAACCCAGGUCAAAAGGCUGUGGCAGGAGGCCAGGCAGAUCACAGCGUCCAUGCCUAGAUGCUCCCUGACCCCCAGGAACCAGAAGUGCUGUCUCCUGAAGGCUCUGGAAACCCGGAAUCAGCCUACGAGGCACCAGGGCCACCUUGGAGGGUGGAAAUGAGGACCUCAGGCCCCAGAGGGCAUGCAGGCGAGGUGAAGUUCAGGAGAGCCAGGAAGUGUCCCCCUCUUCCCGGCCUGCUGUAUCCCAGGACACAGGGCGGGAAAGAACAUGGGCUGUGUGGCCUUGGACCAAUUGCUUGCCCUCUCUGGGCCUUCUUAUUGGUGACAGACAGACUGGUGACUUUCUGAGAGGAUCUAUGCAACCUCAGGCUCCUGCACCUGGGUUACAGGGUCUUCUGGAGGGGAAGAGAUGAGCAGGGAACUCACAGCGAAAUCUACCAACCAAAGAGGAUGUCCAUACCUGUCUUUUUCUUUCUUCCUUCAUUUUUUGACUUAAUUUCCUCACUUGAAAAAAAAAAAUAAAACACCUUAUUCAGGGUAUACUUUAUGGGCAGUCUUAAUUUUUUUUAUUAGGAUGUGGGAUGUAAAUCCAUAAAAGAAGUAGAAGUGCUGAGCCUUCCUGUGGAGUGGGUGCUGGAGGGGAAAAGGUGGAGUUAGGGGAGGGAAGGGGAGGGCAGGAAGGUUGGUGAUGGGCAGAGAUUCACAGAGACUCCCAGGUCAGGGAGCAAUCCCCCAGUCAGGGCAGCAGGAAUGCCCAGAGGAAUUCUGAUCGGGACAGACGUCGGGCACUGAAUGAAGAGAGGUCCCUCAGGGGCCUGGUCUCAGGGGCCUUGAAUUCCACGCAAAGCGUGUCUUGAGCAUCAACUAUAUGCCAGGCACCUUUUACAUAUAUUAUUUCUUACUUCUAAAUUAUUCCAGAUUUUAAGCCGGGUGCAGUGGCUCACGCCUGUAAUCUCAGCAUUUUGGGAGGCCAAGGCAGAUGGAUAACCUGAGGUCAGGAGUUCGAGACCAGCCUGGCUAACACGGUGAAACCCCGUCUCUACUAAAAAUACAAAAAUUGCCUGGGUGUGGUGGUGCAUGCCUGUAAUCCUAGCUACAUGGAAGGCUGAGGCAGGAGGAUUGCUUGAACCUGAGUGGCAGAGGUUGCAAUGAGCUGAGAUUGUGCCACCGAGCUCCAGCCUGGACUACAAAGUGAGACUCCAUCUCAAAAUAAUAAAUAAAUAAAUAAAUAAAUCUAUCAAUCCAGAUUUUACCAAUUAGGAGACUGAGCCUCAGAGAAGUUAAAUCACUUGUCCAGAGCCCUGAAAUUGGAGAAGCAGCUGCGCUCAGACUGGAACCCUAGAUGGUAGGGCCCCUUAGUCCUCCUUUAUCUUGGGGGGAUCCAGGGAAGGCUUUUCAGCAGGGGAAUGAUGCAAUUGGAUACACAUGUCAGGGGGAACAUGACUGCUUGUGGCAAGGAACGCAGUAAGCCUGGG
rnacentral:lncRNA from 10 species